AACGGAGGGUGCAAGCGUUGUUCGGAAUUACUGGGCGUAAAGCGCGUGCAGGUGGCUUUUUAAGUUUCGUGUGAAAUCCCUCGGCUUAACCGGGGAACGGCACGGAAAACUGGAAGGCUUGAGGAUGGGAGAAGAGGGCGGAAUUCCCAGUGUAGAGGUGAAAUUCGUAGAUAUUAGGAAGAACACCAGUGGCGAAGGCGGCUCACUGGCUCGGUACUGACGCUGAGGCGCGAAAGCGUGGGGAGCAAACAGG
rnacentral:rRNA from 1 species